GGUGGGGAGGUAGCGGUUCCCUGUACUCGAAAUCCGCUUUAUGCGAGACUUAAUUCCUUUGUUGAGGGCGUAUUUUUGUGAAGUCUGCCCGAAGCACGUAGUGUUUGAAGAUUUCGGUCCUAUGCAAUAUGAACCCAUGAACCAUGUCAGGUCCUGACGGAAGCAGCAUUAAGUGGAUCCUCAUAUGUGCCGUAGGGUAGCCGAGAUUUAGCUGUCGACUUCGGUAACGUUUAUGAUAUGCGUUCGAUACAAAGGUGCAUGG
rnacentral:SRP_RNA from 1 species